AUGAAUAUCCUCAGUUGGAACUACCGAUGUGGGGGGAACCCUCGAACAGUUCACAAUCUUGUGAGUCUAGUGCAGGCUCAGUCCCCUAGUAUCGUUUUUCUUUAUGAGACUAGACAGUGUAAGAAUAAAAUGAAGUGUCUUCGUGCUCGGUUAGGUCUAAGAGGUUUUGAUGGUUUCGAUUGUGCCGUUCGUAGUGGUGGUCUUGCUUUGUAUUGGCAUGAGUCACUGAGCCUUGAUGUAAAAUAA
rnacentral:rRNA from 1 species